UAAGGAAUAUUGCUCAAUGGGAGAAAUCCUGAAGCAGCAACGCCGCGUGGAGGAUGAAGGGUCUAUGACUUGUAAACUCCUGUAAAGAAGGAAAAAAUUCCCAUUAGAUGGGAGAUGAUGGUACUUCUGGAGUAAGCCCCGGCUAACUACGUGCCAGCAGCCGCGGUAAUACGUAGGGGGCAAGCGUUGUCCGGAUUUACUGGGUGUAAAGGGUGCUCAGGCGGAUUUGUAAGUCAGAGGUGAAAACUCACAGCUUAACUGUGAAACUGCCUUUGAGACUGCAAGCCUAGAGUAUGGAAGAGAGUGAUGGAAUAUCUGGUGUAGCAGUGAAAUGCGUAGAUAUCAGAUAGAACACCAAUGGCGAAGGCAGUCACUUGAUCCAUUACUGACGCUAAAGCACGAAAGCGUGGGUAGCAAACA
rnacentral:rRNA from 1 species